AUGCAGGUGAACAAUUUUUAAGUAGUUAUAUUUUUACUGUAAAGUAUUUUAUUUAUACACAUAUAUAUAUAUAUAUCACAGCAGAUACUUGGUUUUAGAAUGAAGCUGAGUAAUAAAAAUGAGUUAAAGCCUGUUUACCAAAAAAAGUAAAUAAGAAUAUUAAUAGUAUGAGAAUAUGGCAAAAAUCUUAAAGAUGGUAUAAGGAUGACUGAAGUUUGGAAAUCCCUAGUCUAUACUACAGACCCAGGAGUCACAUUCAGGCAGAACAGUGCUUAGGAUUUUUUUUUUUUUAACUAUGAAAAAUAUUAAGAAAAUUGAGACACAGGUCUGGGCUCAGGAAGCAUCCAUUUUUAUGCUUUGAGGUUAGCACAGUUUUAAACUUUCCUCCAUUUGUAGAUGGUAGCAAGGCUUCUAUCAUGGGUCUAAUAGUAUAUUUCUUACACAGUAGGGCAAUAGUAUGAGCACUGCACUGUUUUGUCCUGAAUAGAUAUAAUUGUGAUAUGUAUAUAUUUUCUUUAGGAAGGCAGGGGACUGUGUCAUAUUUCAGAAGAAAAGUUAUUUUAGCAAGUGAAUGAAAUAAAAGACUUAGUACAGAGAGUAAUUAAGUAAGAGUGCUACUUUUCAGCUCUGGAGAUAUUGUUACUCAUCAUGUAAUACUGUGCAAUUUUGGAAAGCCUGUAGUUUUCUAAAUUAGAAAAAAAAAAAGGAAAUCUCAAGAGGCGAUUGGCUUUAUUAGGUUGCUUGGUGACUCAAUUCAUCAUGUUUUUGGUGUUUUGUUAUUCCUUUACAGUGAAUUGUUGAGGUUUAUAGGACUGUUAUGUUUCUUUGUUGAGUAUCUCUACGUGGAGUAUCUCCAUGCUGUUGCCCUGUUGUUGAACCAUCCCCCUUUCUCCCAUCUUCACUGUGUCUGUUUUCUAUUAUUAUUUUUCUUUGAACUGUUUCUCAUUGCUUCUCUUGCUUCUUCUCAUCUUUAGUCAUUAUUUCUCUUAUCGUUUCCUUCUGUUGCCUUUGAAUUUUUGUCUCUUUUCUCUCCUUUUGCUAUUGUUUCUCCAUGCAUCUUUGUCAUAAUUGGUUUCCAAAGGCCAUUGCCAAUUCAUGGAUAUGCGUCCUUCUGAUUAAUGAACUUUGGGGGCUGAUAUUAUCCUCACUUAUUGAUUCUCCUGGAUUUUUGUUGAUGCGUUUGGAGACUUUUUUUUGGAACUUUCUGGCUCAUGACUCUUACAAGUAUGGGUAAGUAUGAGCAUUAUUGCAUGUUGUUUCUAAGAAGGCAUGUAGUCUAAAGCAUGACUUCUCUUCAGAAGUCUGUGGUAUAGUAGAGUCAGGGGCAGAGAAUGCUCAGGAAAUUGAUGAGAACCAGUGUACUGGCCCAAGAGCUAUAGCAGAGUGUGAGGCUGGGAAUGUUGGUUGUAAGUCAAAUUGUAUAGGGUUUGAAUAGGCUGUAGAGUUUAAACUUUAUUCUGCAAGUCCUAAGGAUAUUUUUGAACAAGAUUAGAUAUAUAUUUUAGCAGGUAACAUUGAUAACUAAAUAAGAUAUGUUGGAGUGGAGAGAAACUUGAGGCAGAGAGAACAAUGUCUUUGUAACAAUUACACCAAGAGGCAAUGAGGACUUGAACCGUUGCAUUCGUAUUGAGAGUAGAAAGGAAGAGGGAGAUGAAAGAGAAUAUGGAGGUAGGUUUGUGGUGGAUUGAAUAUGUCAGGAAAUGGGGGAUGGAAAAUGAAUUUGUGAUUUUGAACUUAGGACCCAGUAGGUAGGUGAUGUUCUUAACUAACAUAAGGAACAGAGGAGGAAGAAGUUUUCUGGGAAAAGAUGUUUGGUUCAUUAAAAAGCAAGUGGAGUGGGAUGUGUCUGUGGAAGAAAAGCCAUGUGAAGAUUUCCAGUUGGCAGGUGGCAGUGCAGAUAGAACUUGAGAAGUCGGGGUUAAAAGCCAUGCAUUGAGCUUUGCUUCCAUGAGAUUACCCUGUGGUCAAGGGGGCUGGAUAUAUAGUGUGUUAUAUAGCUUCCUAGGACAGAACCUUAGGGAAUGGUUCUUCACUAAGAAUGAAAAGGAGUGGCCAGAGAUAAUAGGAGUCUCACCAGAAGAGCGAGGGUGUUAACUAAAACCAAGGAAAAGAGAUGGUGUGGCCAACAGUUGCAGAUAUUGUUGGGGGGCCAGGAAGGCUGCCAACUGAAACAAAGUCCGUUGGAUAUAGCAACUAGAAACAUUGGCAACCCUGAGUGCUAAGCAACUCAGAAUUGCAGCUGAAAUUGGAGAGAAUUAGUAGUCUUUCUUAUAGGACAAAUCGAAUAUAACCACCUGCGACCCUUGGAAUCUGAUUUGAUUAAUAGCCUUGGCUGAAUGUUUUAAAAAUUGAAAACAAUUUUGUGAAUUAGCUACACUGUUUAAGAGAAUACAUAACCACUACUAUAUACAGUGUUAUAUGGCAAAUAUAUCACAGUAAAGCUGGGAGGGAAAAAGUUCAUCUUCCCUUACCCUCCCUAUUUUCACUAAAAUUGUGCCAGGCAAGCUAAGAUAUGUCUUAAGUCACAAACUAUGGGCCAGCGUUUCAUCUGUUAAAAAAAUGAGUUGCUUAUACUCUGUUACUUUAUAAAGCCAGCUCUAAAAUUUGUUUCUUCUAUUUUUUCCUUUUAUUAUGUCUUUUGUUGUCAUCUAGUUGACUCCUCAUAUCUGAGAACUUUUUUCCUUGUUUACCAUACUGGAAGUAACUUGGUUUUGGCGAUUCAAGAUUGUUUUGUUGACUCAUAACACAUACACUCUAGACAACAAAUAGUGGUAACUGAGAAGGCUGUGGUGAUUUGUCUCUAGUUUGCCAUGUGUUUAAGAUAAAAAUAUUCCCUUCACAGGUUUGCCUAAAAUUCUAUUACUGAUAAUCCUUUUAAAGUUUAACCUGGGUGUAAAUGGUUCACAGUUUGCUUUUGCAGAAAGUGAAAAAAAGAAAUCUUAAAAUAACUUUCUAAUUAUGAUCUGACUUGUCUAGCUGAUAGGAAAUCCAUGAAGGGGUAGUUAGGGCAUUGUUUUAUUUGUCUCAUAGUCUGGCUUAAAAGAAUCAUGGAAUUUCAGAGACUAACUAAAAGAAAUAUAGAAUGUCAGAACAUAAAGGAACCUUUAUUGCAGAAGAUUUAGACUGGGAAAAUGAAAGUAUUGAGCACAGAAAGGUAGAACAAAGAUACUAAAUAUUCAAAAUUAAAUAAUAUGAUAAAGUUGUAAACCAAAAAUCAUUUUCAAAACUUGUAUA